rnacentral:rRNA from 1 species
AUACGGAGGAUCCGAGCGUUAUCCGGAUUUAUUGGGUUUAAAGGGAGCGUAGAUGGGUUGUUAAGUCAGUUGUGAAAGUUUGCGGCUCAACCGUAAAAUUGCAAUUGAUACUGGCAGCCUUGAGUACAGUUGAGGUAGGCGGAAUUCGUGGUGUAGCGGUGAAAUGCUUAGAUAUCACGAAGAACUCCGAUUGCGAAGGCAGCCUACUAAACUGCCGCUGACAUUGAUGCUCGAAAGUGUGGGUAUCAAACAGGAUUAGAUACCCUGGUAGUCCACACGGUAAACGAUGAAUACUCGCUGUUUGCGAUAUACAGCAAGCGGCCAAGCGAAAGCGUUAAGUAUUCCACCUGGGGAGUACGCCGGCAACGGUGAAACUCAAAGGAAUUGACGGGG